CUCAAAUUUGAAAUCUGGCCCUUUCAGGGUCCGAGUUGUAAUUUGUAGAGGAUGUUUCGGGUGUGGCUCCGGUCUAAGUUCCUUGGAACAGGACGUCAUAGAGGGUGAGAAUCCCGUAUGUGACUGGUAGCCUAUGCUCAUGUGAAACUCCUUCGACGAGUCGAGUUGUUUGGGAAUGCAGCUCAAAAUGGGUGGUAAAUUUCAUCUAAAGCUAAAUAUUGGCCAGAGACCGAUAGCGCACAAGUAGAGUGAUCGAAAGAUGAAAAGCACUUUGGAAAGAGAGUUAAACAGUACGUGAAAUUGUUGAAAGGGAAGCGCUUGCAACCAGACUUGCAUGUAGCUGAUCAACCGGUGUUCUCACCGGUGCACUCAGUUGCGUUCAGGCCAGCAUCGGUUUCGACGGUUGGAUAAAGGCCUUGGGAAUGUAGCUUCUUUCGGGGAGUGUUAUAGCCCAGGGUGCAAUGCAGCCUGUUG
rnacentral:rRNA from 1 species